rnacentral:rRNA from 1 species
AUUGAACGCUGGCGGCAUGCCUUACACAUGCAAGUCGAACGGCAGCACGGGAGCAAUCCUGGUGGCGAGUGGCGAACGGGUGAGUAAUAUAUCGGAACGUGCCCAGUCGUGGGGAUAACGUAGCGAAAGCUACGCUAAUACCGCAUACGAUCUAUGGAUGAAAGCGGGGGAUCGCAAGACCUCGCGCGAUUGGAGCGGCCGAUAUCAGAUUAGGUAGUUGGUGAGGUAAAGGCUCACCAAGCCGACGAUCUGUAGCUGGUCUGAGAGGACGACCAGCCACACUGGGACUGAGACACGGCCCAGACUCCUACGGGAGGCAGCAGUGGGGAAUUUUGGACAAUGGGCGCAAGCCUGAUCCAGCAAUGCCGCGUGCAGGAUGAAGGCCUUCGGGUUGUAAACUGCUUUGUUACGGAACGAAACGGUGAGCUCUAAUACAGUUUGUCUAAUGACGGUACCGUAAGAAU